GGAGUGCUUCGGGAAUAGAAGACAGGUGCUGCAUGGCUGUCGAUCAGCUCGUGUAGUGAGAUGUUGGGUUAAGUCCCGCAACGAGCGCAACCCCUUGUCCUUUGUUGCCAGCACGUAAUGGUGGGAACUCAAGGGAGACGUGCCGGUGAUAAACCGGAGGAAGGUGGGGAUGACGUCAAUGUCAUCAAUGGCCCUUACGGCCAGGGGCUACACACA
rnacentral:rRNA from 1 species